GACGAACGCUGGCGGCGUGCUUAACACAUGCAAGUCGAGCGGAGCGGCGAACGGGUGAGUACCGCGUGAGUAACUGCCCCCCUCUCUGGGAUAACAGUUGGAAACGGCUGCUAAUACCGGUUAGUGGGGGAUGACUCGCGUCCUAUCCGUUUGUCGGUGGGGUAGGGGCCUACCAAGGCGACGACGGGUAGCCGGCCUAAGAGGGCGACCGGCCACAUUGGGCUGAGGUACGGCCCAAACUGCUACGGGAGGCAACAGUGGGGAAUAGUGAACAAGGGGGGAACGCCUGAGGCAGCAACGCGCGUGCGGGAUGACGGCCUUCGGGUUGUAAGCCGCUUUCAGCCAUGACGCGGUAGUGGCAGAAGAAGCACCGGCUAACUACGUGCCAGCAGCCGCGGUAAUAC
rnacentral:rRNA from 1 species